AUGAAGCUGGAGUUACUAGUAAUCGCAGAUCAGAAUGCUGCGGUGAAUGCGUUCCCGGGUCUUGUACACACCGCCCGUCGCACCACGGAAGUUGGGGGCGCCCGAAGCCACUUAGCUAACCCUUUUGGGAAGCGAGUGGUCGAAGGUGAAAUCAAUAACUGGGGUGAAGUCGUAACAAGGUACC
rnacentral:rRNA from 1 species